rnacentral:rRNA from 1 species
AACGAACGCUGGCGGCAGGCCUAACACAUGCAAGUCGAGCGCUCACCUUCGGGUGGGAGUGGCGCACGGGUGAGUAACACGUGGGAACCUACCUUGAAGUACGGAAUAACUGAGGGAGACUUCAGCUAAUACCGUAUACGCCCUACGGGGGAAAGAUUUAUCGCUUCAAGACGGGCCCGCGUUGGAUUAGCUAGUUGGUGAGGUAACGGCUCACCAAGGCAACGAUCCAUAGCUGAUUUGAGAGAAUGAUCAGCCACACUGGGACUGAGACACGGCCCAGACUCCUACGGGAGGCAGCAGUGGGGAAUACUGGACAAUGGGCGCAAGCCUGAUCCAGCCAUGCCGCGUGAGUGAUGAAGGCCUUCGGGUUGUAAAGCUCUUUCAGAUGGGACGAUGAUGACGGUACCAUCAGAAGAAGCCCCGGCUAACUUCGUGCCAGCCGCCGCAGUAAAAC